UGUCUGUGUGUGGAUAGACGUACCUUUUGCAUCCAUGCCAACAGAGUAAUGCAUCUUAAACCCUAAACUGCUGAUCCUGUUAUCAGUUCUGAACUUGAUG